UUUCCGUAGGUGAACCUGCGGAAGGAUCAUUAUUGAGUUUUGAAGUGGGCUUGAUGCUGGUGUCUUCACGACGCAUGUGCUCAGCCCCGCUCUCAAAUCCACUCUACACCUGUGCACUUUCAAAGUUUGUAGUCCUCCGUAAUGGAGCCGCAAAUCAUUUAUGGUUUGCUGGGGCUGCACUUUGCCCUUUAUCACAAACUAUAUGCAUUGUCUUGUAGAAUGUCAAGCCUCUUAGUGGGCGAAACUUAAUACAACUUUCAACAACGGAUCUCUUGGCUCUC
rnacentral:misc_RNA from 1 species